rnacentral:snoRNA from 1 species
CCCAUCCAGGAUGAUGAGCUCAUCUCCUACCUGUUGCAUGGGCUGGACAUGGACUACCAGCCCCUCGUCUCCACCAUCGACGCCCGCGUCACGCCGGUCUCCCUCGAUGAGUUGUACGCCAUGCUGAGCAAUUUUGAUC